CUUGUCUCAAGAUUAGCCAUGCAUGUGUAAGUAUAAGCACUUGUACUGUGAAACUGCGAAUGGCUCAUUAAAUCAGUUAUCGUUUAUUUGAUUGUACUUCUGAAUUACAUGGAUAUCUGUGGUAAUUCUAGAGCUAAUACAUGCGAAAAAUCCCGACUCCUCGGGGAAGGGAUGUAUUUAUUAGAUUAAAAACCAAUGCCUUUCGGGGCUCCUUUUGGUGAUUCAUGAUAACUUUUCGAAUCGCAUGGCCUUGUGCCGGCGAUGUUUCAUUCAAAUUUCUGCCCUAUCAACUGUCGAUGGUAAGGUAGUGGCUUACCAUGGUUGUAACGGGUGACGGAGAAUUAGGGUUCGAUUCCGGAGAGGGAGCCUGAGAAACGGCUACCACAUCUAAGGAAGGCAGCAGGCGCGGAAAUUACCCAAUCCCGACUCGGGGAGGUAGUGACAAGAAAUAACGAUACGGGGUCUUUACAGGUCUCGCAAUUGGAAUGAGUACAAUUUAAAUCCUUUAACGAGGAUCCAUUGGAGGGCAAGUAUGGUGCCAGCAGCCGCGGUUUAAUUC
rnacentral:rRNA from 1 species